UACGUAGGGGGCGAGCGUUGUCCGGAUUUAUUGGGCGUAAAGAGCGUGUCGGCGGCCAGGUAGGUCUGCUGUGAAAACUCGAGGCUCAACCUCGAGACGUCGGCGGAAACCAUCUGGCUAGAGUCCGGAAGAGGAGAGUGGAAUUCCUGGUGUAGCGGUGAAAUGCGCAGAUAUCAGGAAGAACACCCGUGGCGAAGGCGGCUCUCUGGGACGGUACUGACGCUGAGACGCGAAAGCGUGGGGAGCGAACAGG
rnacentral:rRNA from 1 species